CACUGACACUUAUUAAUAUGAAUUAAAACUGAUUAGAACAAACUAGAACUUAGAUUUGUUUCUCACCAUCUCCAACCCAGGUGAUGUGGGUGAGCUGCAGGAGAAGCUGGCAGCUUUCCCCACAGAGCUGGACACACACAUGUUCAGGACUCAGAACUGAAGAAAGAUCCCGGGGAGUGAAAGUGCUGCAGGCCUGGGUGAAGUCCACAGAAACAAAUGACCGUGGAAACUUCCUGCUGAGAUGGAGAAACGAUGGCUCAUUGUGUCUGCAUCCCUGAGCUUUCACCUGGAAGAGGCACCGACCUUGUGUGGGUAAGUCUGCAGACUUUCAUUGUUGAAGAUAUAUUUCACUCCGAAUAGUGAAUCAGAGUGAGAUGAAACAUCUGGCUAAUAAAAUGUCUCAAACCUCAAACCACUUUAGAUAUUUGGAAAUCUUCCCCACACAUUUAUUAUAAAACACAUAGAGACCCAGAAAAAAAAUGGCACUCUAUGUUGAAGAUGGGACGUAAGUGUCAUUGAUGUAAAAUCCUUGGAUUUCUUUUGUGUAGAUGUAGACUGCGAUUGUCAGUAUAUGCUCCGUAAAGUUGC